AGAGUUUGAUCCUGGCUCAGGAUGAACGCUGGCGGCGUGCCUAAUACAUGCAAGUCGAACGGAGAUAUUGUAGCAAUACGGUAUCUUAGUGGCGAACGGGUGAGUAACGCGUUGGUGACCUGCCCCGAAGAGGGGGAUAACAGUCCGAAAGGAUUGCUAAUACCCCAUGUGGUCCUGGGUUUUAGAACCCCAUGACUAAAGGUGUAAAUCACUUCGGGAGGGGCCUGCGUCCCAUCAGCUAGUUGGUAAGGUAAUGGCUUACCAAGGCGACGACGGGUAGGGGACCUGAGAGGGUGGCCCCCCACAAUGGAACUGAAACACGGUCCAUACACCUACGGGUGGCAGCAGUAGGGAAUAUUAGUUAAUGUGCGAAAGCGCGAACUAGCAACGCCGCGUGUGCGAUGAAGGUCUUCGGAUCGUAAAGCACUUUUCGAGAAGAUGAGGAAGGACAGUACUCUCGGAAUAAGUCUCGGCUAAACUACGUGCCAGCAGCCGCGGUAAAACGUACGAGGCAAGCGUUAUCCGGAUUUACCGGGCGUAAAGCGCGUGCCGGCGGUUUGGUAAGUUGGAAGUAAAGGCUCCCGGGUCCAAUUGGGAGAGGUCGUUUCAAACUACCCAGACUUGAGGGCGGUAGAGGGAAGGGGAAUUCCGUGUGUAGUGGUGAAAUGCGUAGAUAUACGGAGGAACACCAGUGGCGAAAGCGGCUUCCUGGACCGAUCCUGACGCUCAGACGCGAAAGCUAGGGGAGCAAACGGGAUUAGAGACCCCGGUAGUCCUAGCUGUAAACGAUGUGAACUUGGCGUCGGUGGGUUUAAAUCCAUCGGUGCCGUAGCUAACGCGAUAAGUUCACCGCCUGGGGACUACGGCCGCAAGGUUAAAACUCGAAGGAAUUGACGGGGGCCCGCACAAGCAGCGGAGCGUGUGGUUUAAUUCGAUGUUACACGAAGAACCUUACCAGGGUUUGACAUACAAGUGGUAGGGAUCCGAAAGGUGACCGACCCUUCGGGGAGCUUGUACAGGUGUUGCAUGGCUGUCGUCAGCUCGUGUCGUGAGAUGUUCGGUUAAGUCCGCUAGCGAGCGCAACCCUCACUGUGUGUUAUACGUGUCACACGGGACUGCCGGUGUCAAGCCGGAGGAAGGUGGGGAUGACGUCAAGUCAGCAUGGCCUUUAUAUCCUGGGCUACACACACGCUACAAUGGCCAGUACAGUAGGUUGCGAAGCCGCGAGGCGGAGCCAAUCCUCAAAGCUGGUCUCAGUUCAGAUCGCAGGCUGCAACUCGCCUACGUGAAGACGGAGUUGCUAGUAACCGCAGGUCAGCUAUACUGCGGUGAAUACGUUCCCGGGCCUUGCACAC
rnacentral:rRNA from 1 species